GAUGAAGAACGCAGCGAAAUGCGAUAAGUAAUGUGAAUUGCAGAAUUCAGUGAAUCAUCGAAUCUUUGAACGCACAUUGCGCCCGCCAGUAUUCUGGCGGGCAUGCCUGUUCGAGCGUCAUUUCAACCCUCAAGCCCAGCUUGGUGUUGGGGAUCGGCACAGGCGCCCUCGGGCGCCCGCCGUCCCCUAAAUCUAGUGGCGGUCCCGCUGCAGCCUCCUCUGCGUAGUAGUUUUCUCCUCGCAAGGGCAGCUCGGUGGCGACCUCGCCGCAAAACCCCCAACUUCUGAAAGGUUGACCUCGAAUCAGGUAGGAAUACCCGCUGAACUUAAGCAUAUCAAUAAGCGGAGGA
rnacentral:misc_RNA from 1 species